rnacentral:tRNA from 1 species
AGGUAUAACUCAGUUGGUUAGAGUGCACGUCUGAUACGCGUGAUGUCGUAGGUUCGAAUCCCACUACCUC